UACGAAGGGGGCUAGCGUUGUUCGGAAUUACUGGGCGUAAAGCGCGCGCAGGCGGUUCUUCAAGUCAGUGGUGAAAGCCCGGAGCUCAACUCCGGAACUGCCAUUGAAACUGUGGAACUUGAGGAUGAGAGAGGUGAGUGGAAUUCCCAGUGUAGAGGUGAAAUUCGUAGAUAUUGGGAAGAACACCGGUGGCGAAGGCGGCUCUCUGGACCGACACUGACGCUGAGGCGCGAAAGCGUGGGGAGCAAACA
rnacentral:rRNA from 1 species